UGAUAGUCCCGUACACGAAAAAGCGUUAUUGGUACUAGGCUUGCGACAAGUAGGGCGGGGCACGAGAAACCUUGUCUGAACAUGGGGGGACCAUCCUCCAAGGCUAAAUACUCCUAACUGACCGAUAGUGAACCAGUACCGUGAGGGAAAGGCGAAAAGAACCCCGGCGAGGGGAGUGAAAUAGAACCUGAAACCGUAUACGUACAAGCAGUGGAAGCCGACUUGUUCGGUGACUGCGUACCUUUUGUAUAAUGGGUCAGCGACUUAUAUUCUGUAGCGAGGUUAACCGUAUAGGGGAGCCGUAGCGAAAGCGAGUCUUAACUGGGCGUUAAGUUGCAGGGUAUAGACCCGAAACCCGGUGAUCUAGCCAUGGGCAGGUUGAAGGUUGAGUAACAUCAACUGGAGGACCGAACCCACUAACUUUGAA
rnacentral:rRNA from 1 species